UUUUUACAUAUGGAUAUGAAAAGAAUCUCAAAGAUCUCAAAACUCACAUUCCUAAAAGAUGUCAAUGCCUUCUCAUGGCUGCUACCUCAAGCUUGAAGAAGCUUUAUCUACACAAUCCCUAUAUUCUUACUUUAGCAGAAGUUGGUGAUGGAAAGGACGAAAUUGUCCCCAAAAAUGUUCAGCAAUUUUGGUUUGGUAUAAAAUCUGCUGUGUUAAAUGCUGAAUUGCCUGUGAAUUGACGUCUACAUAUUCUUGAGGGUUUUGGUUCUUAAAUGAAUAAAGAAAACAAAUUUCCUGGGCGGGAAAGAAGCAGACAUACUUGCUGGUAAGAUGAGUAUGGUACAGUUGCAAGGGCGGGACCAGUUGCUGACAGCACAAAAUGAAAUGCUCAAGGUACUCUACUCUACUGCUUCAUCAUAUAUGUCUGCAAGUUUGGUUGGCAGUUUCCCUUAUUACAGAUGCGUUGGCUGCAUCUGGUCAGGCGUUGAUUGCUAGUUCGGUUUCAAAAGGGAAUUAUAGAUCUGUGAAGGAUAUCACAUACUUCGUGUUGACUAUUGGUUUUGUGAUGGGUGUUACUUUGGCUGCAAUAUUGGGAGUUUCAUUUGGUUCCAUAGUCACACUGUUCACUAAGGACAU